AGAAUCAACGCUGGCGGCGUGCCUAACACAUGCAAGUCGCACGAGAAAGGGACUUCGGUCUUGAGUAAAGUGGCGCACGGGUGAGUAACACGUGAAUUAUCUACCUCCGAAUGGGGAAUAACUGAGAGAAAUCUUAGCUAAUACCGCAUAAUACCUACGGGUCAAAGCAGCAAUGCGUUUGGAGAGGAGUUCGCGGUCGAUUAGUUAGUUGGCGGGGUAAUGGCCCACCAAGACGAUGAUCGAUAUCCGGCCUGAGAGGGCGCACGGACACACUGGAACUGAAACACGGUCCAGACUCCUACGGGAGGCAGCAGUGGGGAAUUUUGCGCAAUGGGGGAAACCCUGACGCAGCAACGCCGCGUGGAGGAUGAAAUAUCUUGGUAUGUAAACUCCUUUCGAUGGGGAAGAUAAUGACGGUACCCAUAGAAGAAGCCCGGCUAACUUCGUGCCAGCAGCCGC
rnacentral:rRNA from 1 species